GCAGUCGAGCGAACAGACAAGGAGCUUGCUCCUUUGACGUUAGCGGCGGACGGGUGAGUAACACGUGGGUAACCUACCUAUAAGACUGGGAUAACUUCGGGAAACCGGAGCUAAUACCGGAUAAUAUUUCGAACCGCAUGGUUCGAUAGUGAAAGAUGGUUUUGCUAUCACUUAUAGAUGGACCCGCGCCGUAUUAGCUAGUUGGUAAGGUAACAGCUUACCAAGGCGACGAUACGUAGCCGACCUGAGAGGGUGAUCGGCCACACUGGAACUGAGACACGGUCCAGACUCCUACGGGAGGCAGCAGUAGGGAAUCUUCCGCAAUGGGCGAAAGCCUGACGGAGCAACGCCGCGUGAGUGAUGAAGGUCUUCGGAUCGUAAAACUCUGUUAUUAGGGAAGAACAUACGUGUAAGUAACUGUGCACGUCUUGACGGUACCUAAUCAGAAAGCCACGGCUAACUACGUGCCAGCAGCCGCGGUAAUACGUAGGUGGCAAGCGUUAUCCGGAAUUAUUGGGCGUAAAGCGCGCGUAGGCGGUUUUUUAAGUCUGAUGUGAAAGCCCACGGCUCAACCGUGGAGGGUCAUUGGAAACUGGAAAACUUGAGUGCAGAAGAGGAAAGUGGAAUUCCAUGUGUAGCGGUGAAAUGCGCAGAGAUAUGGAGGAACACCAGUGGCGAAGGCGACUUUCUGGUCUGUAACUGACGCUGAUGUGCGAAAGCGUGGGGAUCAAACAGGAUUAGAUACCCUGGUAGUCCACGCCGUAAACGAUGAGUGCUAAGUGUUAGGGGGUUUCCGCCCCUUAGUGCUGCAGCUAACGCAUUAAGCACUCCGCCUGGGGAGUACGACCGCAAGGUUGAAACUCAAAGGAAUUGACGGGGACCCGCACAAGCGGUGGAGCAUGUGGUUUAAUUCGAAGCAACGCGAAGAACCUUACCAAAUCUUGACAUCCUUUGACAACUCUAGAGAUAGAGCCUUCCCCUUCGGGGGACAAAGUGACAGGUGGUGCAUGGUUGUCGUCAGCUCGUGUCGUGAGAUGUUGGGUUAAGUCCCGCAACGAGCGCAACCCUUAAGCUUAGUUGCCAUCAUUAAGUUGGGCACUCUAAGUUGACUGCCGGUGACAAACCGGAGGAAGGUGGGGAUGACGUCAAAUCAUCAUGCCCCUUAUGAUUUGGGCUACACACGUGCUACAAUGGACAAUACAAAGGGCAGCGAAACCGCGAGGUCAAGCAAAUCCCAUAAAGUUGUUCUCAGUUCGGAUUGUAGUCUGCAACUCGACUACAUGAAGCUGGAAUCGCUAGUAAUCGUAGAUCAGCAUGCUACGGUGAAUACGUUCCCGGGUCUUGUACACACCGCCCGUCACACCACGAGAGUUUGUAACACCCGAAGCCGGUGGAGUAACCAUUGGAGCUAG
rnacentral:rRNA from 1 species